UGUUCUGGCCCUGUUCUUGCCUGACGUCUGUGCUGAGCCUUGCGGCUGAGGCCUGGCUGACAGUGGCUAAAAAUACCUGAGCUGGGCCUGGAGAUCUCACACAGGAAACUGCUAUCCAGAGUGGUGUCCGCAGAGCUGGUGGCAUUCGGGGCCUGGUUGGGCAGGACGCCUGAACCUGAACUGGCUCAGAUGACUGUUAUGUCACAGGUGACAUCUGGGGAACCCAAGAGUGCCAGGGAAGAGUCUCCCUAAAGCUGUGGACACCUGGCUGCUGCCCUGACAAGGCAUCUAUCUGGUUUCCCACAAAAUGAGAUCUCAGAACACAUCACUCACUGGUCAGAGGACUACUUAAUAAACUGUGACCAACAGCAACUGAGAACAACCACUUCCAACCACCAACAUUUAUAUUCCUUCUGAAAGAUUCCCAGAUUCCAAAUAUCAGGCAAUUGCAGAAACUAUCUGCAGCUGCCAAAAUCACACCCCCUCCAGAGCAUGAGGCAAAUCAUAGCCAGCUGCUGUUAUGAAGCAGC